rnacentral:rRNA from 1 species
UACGUAGGGUGCAAGCGUUAAUCGGAAUUACUGGGCGUAAAGCGUGCGCAGGCGGUUGUGCAAGACAGGUGUGAAAUCCCCGGGCUUAACCUGGGAAUGGCAUUUGGGACUGCAAGGCUGGAGUUUGGCAGAGGAGACUGGAAUUCCCGGUGUAGCAGCGAAAUGCGUAGAUAUCGGGAGGAAUACCGAUGGCGAAGGCAGGUCUCUGGGCUAUAACUGACGCUCAUGCACGAAAGCGUGGGGAGCAAACAGG